UAGUACCUCCUGAACAGGGGUAACUCGGGAUCGAACGUUAUAUAUUCUAAUGCCCAGCCACUCAAACUGUAACAUGCUCUAAUGCUCUGUAUUUAUAUAGCUCCUUUCUAGUCUUUGACCACUCAAAGCCCUUUUAUUCUACAUCACACUUACCCAUUCACACACUGAGUGCUUGAACAAAAACUAACAUUCACUAGGACACUACAAAAUGCUUCCUGGAGGAUUGAACCGCUGAUCUUCAGAUUUACAGGCAACCUCCUCUAUCUCCUGAGCCACAACCUCCCUUUCAGGACGCCAGAGGUUGUGAGUUCAAUCCACAUCUUGGAGAAUGUGGGUGUUUUUAUAGUUUCACAUAAUCCAUUACCAUGGCAACGAGAUUGUGGAUCAAGCAUACAAGGUCUACAUGAUUGGUAUCUUUUCACACUACCUCUGCUGCCUCGUGCCCCCUCGCCUUGCCAGCCACACUCCUGGAUCCACAAGCUCUCUAGCUUCCCAGCCUGGCCUUCCCAACCCUUGCCUAGUUAUUGUUUUUGUUCUCAAGAAUAAAACUUUUUUCCAUA